rnacentral:rRNA from 1 species
AUGGCAUUUGUGGAGGGUGAGAACUUUCUCAGCUGGGUUUGGUUCUUCCGUCAAGUGAAAAUUGCCAUCGUGAAGGACCGACCAAAUGUGUGUGUCAUUCAUGACAGACAUGCUGGUAUAUUGAAGGCCGUGAAGACACUUCGGAAUCCAGCAGAUGACGAACCAACACCUUGGAGGGACUUGCAGAGCCGGUGGUGCAUGCGCCAUCUUGGGGCUAAUUUUUUCUCACAGUUCAAGAACAAGCGGUUGAUGAACUUGUUCAAAAAAUUAUGCAAGCAGAGCCAGCAGCGGAAAUACGAAUUUAUUUGGUCAAAACUAGAUGAGUUUACUAAGAAGUAG